rnacentral:rRNA from 1 species
UACGGAGGGGGCUAGCGUUGUUCGGAAUUACUGGGCGUAAAGCGCUCGUAGGCGGAUCUUUAAGUCAGAGGUGAAAUCCCAAGGCUCAACCUUGGAACUGCCUUUGAUACUGGGGAUCUCGAGUCCGGGAGAGGUGAGUGGAACUGCGAGUGUAGAGGUGAAAUUCGUAGAUAUUCGCAAGAACACCAGUGGCGAAGGCGGCCCGCUGGGCAGUGGCUGACGCUGAGGCGCGACAGCGUGGGGAGCAAACAGG